UACGGAGGGGGCUAGCGUUGUUCGGAAUUACUGGGCGUAAAGCGCACGUAGGCGGCUUUGUAAGUUAGAGGUGAAAGCCCAGGGCUUAACCCUGGAAUUGCCUUUAAGACUGCAUCGCUAGAAUCGUGGAGAGGUAAGUGGAAUUCCGAGUGUAGAGGUGAAAUUCGUAGAUAUUCGGAAGAACACCAGUGGCGAAGGCGACUUACUGGACACGUAUUGACGCUGAGGUGGCGAAAAGCGUGGGGAGCAAACAGG
rnacentral:rRNA from 1 species